UACGUAGGGUGCAAGCGUUAAUCGGAAUUACUGGGCGUAAAGGGUGCGCAGGCGGUUUUGUAAGCCAGAUGUGAAAUCCCCGGGCUCAACCUGGGAAUGGCAUUUGGGACUGCAAGGCUAGAGUGUGGCAGAGGAGACUGGAAUUCCCGGUGUAGCAGUGAAAUGCGUAGAUAUCGGGAGGAAUACCGAUGGCGAAGGCAGGUCUCUGGGCUGACACUGACGCUCAUGCACGAAAGCGUGGGGAGCAAACAGG
rnacentral:rRNA from 1 species